AUACGUAGGGGGCGAGCGUUGUCCGGAAUGAUUGGGCGUAAAGGGCGCGUAGGCGGCGCGGUAAGUCUGGAGUGAAAGUCCUGCUUUCAAGGUGGGAAUUGCUUUGGAUACUGCCGCGCUUGAGUGCAGGAGAGGUUAUCGGAAUUCCCGGUGUAGCGGUGAAAUGCGUAGAGAUUGGGAGGAACACCAGUGGCGAAGGCGACUUACUGGACUGUAACUGACGCUGAGGCGCGAAAGUGUGGGGAGCAAACAGGAUUAGAUACCCUGGUAGUCCACACUGUAAACGAUGAAUGCUAGGUGUAGGGGGUAUCGACUCCCUCUGUGCCGCAGUUAACACAAUAAGUAUUCCGCCUGGGGAGUACGGCCGCAAGGUUGAAACUCAAAUGAAUUGACGGGG
rnacentral:rRNA from 1 species